rnacentral:rRNA from 1 species
CAGUCGCCGCGGUAACACGUAGGUGGCAAGCGUUAUCCGGAAUCAUUGGGCGUAAAGCGCGCGUAGGCGGUUUUUUAAGUCUGAUGUGAAAGCCCACGGCUCAACCGUGGAGGGUCAUUGGAAACUGGAAAACUUGAGUGCAGAAGAGGAAAGUGGAAUUCCAUGUGUAGCGGUGAAAUGCGUAGAGAUGUGGAGGAACACCAGUGGCGAAGGCGACUCUCUGGUCUGUAACUGACGCUGAGGAGCGAAAGCGUGGGGAGCGAACAGGAUUAGAUACCCCCGUAGUCCCUGUCUCUUAUAC